UUAAUUGAAACCAAAAAGAGGUAUAUCACUGUUAAUGAUAUUAUUGAAUUUAUAUCAUUCCAAUUAAA
rnacentral:tRNA from 1 species